GUAACUUAGGGUUUGAAAUAAAAGACCUAGGUAUUAUACCUAUACCUCCCGAUUUCCGGUUGAUUGUGGCUCGAAUCUCCGUUCCAUCUCUACUCAUCACCUUCGCUGGUGUUGAUCGGCUCUCCACCAAGCUCAGGUUUCCGAUCAAGCACCAAAAGAUCUCGGUGGAGUUGCGAUUGGAUGUGGAGUCCCUUGACCACCACACCGGCGGCACGACUACAGCUAGGGCGAGGGCUCCGACAGAGGAACGAGGAAAGGAAGGCAAGUACUCUGUAAUAUGAUGGUAUGAGAUCCGCAAGGUAGAGGAUAGGAGCUUGGAAGAGUUGAUAUGCUCACCGAUUAUGUUCAGCAGGUGAGGAUAACUUCCAGGAUAUGCCAGAAGGCCCACGGACGAAGUAGACGAGGAGGCGGGAUGGGCGCAUGGUACUGCCCGUUGUCCGGGAGGGCAGUGCAUACUGGAUCUACCAAGAGAGAUUUUCGUUUCUUAGUCACUCGGGUGGGGAAUGUUGAGGAGUUAUUGUUCUUAUCGAUAAACAUUUGUUAAUAUAAUCUUGUCUAUUGGUUAUGAUA